CCCCAGUAAACGGCGGCCGUAACUAUAACGGUCCUAAGGUAGCGAAAUUCCUUGUCGGGUAAGUUCCGACCUGCACGAAUGGCGUAAUGAUGGCCAGGCUGUCUCCACCCGAGACUCAGUGAAAUUGAACUCGCUGUGAAGAUGCAGUGUACCCGCGGCAAGACGGAAAGACCCCGUGAACCUUUACUAUAGCUUGACACUGAACAUUGAGCCUUGAUGUGUAGGAUAGGUGGGAGGCUUUGAAGUGUGGACGCCAGUCUGCAUGGAGCCAACCUUGAAAUACCACCCUUUAACGUUUGAUGUUCUAACCUAGGCCCAUAAACUGGGUCGGGGACCGUGUCUGGUGGGUAGUUUGACUGGGGCGGUCUCCUCCUAAAGAGUAACGGAGGAGCACGAAGGUUGGCUAAGCAUGGUCGGACAUCAUGCGGUUAGUGCAAAGGCAUAAGCCAGCUUGACUGCGAGAGUGACGGCUCGAGCAGGUACGAAAGUAGGUCUUAGUGAUCCGGUGGUUCUGAAUGGAAGGGCCAUCGCUCAACGGAUAAAAGGUACUCCGGGGAUAACAGGCUGAUACCGCCCAAGAGUUCAUAUCGACGGCGGUGUUUGGCACCUCGAUGUCGGCUCAUCACAUCCUGGGGCUGAAGUAGGUCCCAAGGGUAUGGCUGUUCGCCAUUUAAAGUGGUACGCGAGCUGGGUUUAGAACGUCGUGAGACAGUUCGGUCCCUAUCUGCCGUGGGCGUUGGAAGAUUGAGAGGGGUUGCUCCUAGUACGAGAGGACCGGAGUGAACGCACCACUGGUGUUCGGGUUGUCAUGCCAAUGGCAUUGCCCGGUAGCUAAGUGCGGAAGAGAUAACCGCUGAAAGCAUCUAAGCGGGAAACUUGCCUCGAGAUG
rnacentral:rRNA from 1 species